rnacentral:tRNA from 1 species
UGCCGCUGUGGCGGAAUUGGCAGACGCGCAUGGUUCAGGUCCAUGUCCACGCAAGUGGGUGGGGGUUCGACUCCCUUCAGCGGCAU